rnacentral:rRNA from 1 species
GAUGAACGCUGGCGGCGUGCCUAAUACAUGCAAGUCGAACGAAACUUCUUUAUCACCGAGUGCUUGCACUCACCGAUAAAGAGUUGAGUGGCGAACGGGUGAGUAACACGUGGGCAACCUGCCCAAAAGAGGGGGAUAACACUUGGAAACAGGUGCUAAUACCGCAUAACCAUAGUUACCGCAUGGUAACUAUGUAAAAGGUGGCUAUGCUACCGCUUUUGGAUGGGCCCGCGGCGCAUUAGCUAGUUGGUGAGGUAAAGGCUUACCAAGGCAAUGAUGCGUAGCCGAACUGAGAGGUUGAUCGGCCACAUUGGGACUGAGACACGGCCCAAACUCCUACGGGAGGCAGCAGUAGGGAAUCUUCCACAAUGGGCGAAAGCCUGAUGGAGCAACGCCGCGUGGGUGAAGAAGGUCUUCGGAUCGUAAAACCCUGUUGUUAGAGAAGAAAGUGCGUGAGAGUAACUGUUCACGUUUCGACGGUAUCUAACCAGAAAGCCACGGCUAACUACGUGCCAGCAGCCGCGGUAAUACGUAGGUGGCAAGCGUUAUCCGGAUUUAUUGGGCGUAAAGGGAACGCAGGCGGUCUUUUAAGUCUGAUGUGAAAGCCUUCGGCUUAACCGGAGUAGUGCAUUGGAAACUGGGAGACUUGAGUGCAGAAGAGGAGAGUGGAACCUCCAUGUGUAGCGGUGAAAUGCGUAGAUAUAUGGAAGAACACCAGUGGCGAAAGCGGCUCUCUGGUCUGUAACUGACGCUGAGGUUCGAAAGCGUGGGUAGCAAACAGGAUUAGAUACCCUGGUACUCCACGCCGUAAACGAUGAAUGCUAAGUGUUGGAGGGUUUCCGCCCUUCAGUGCUGCAGCUAACGCAAUAAGCAUUCCGCCUGGGGAGUACGACCGCAAGGUUGAAACUCAAAGGAAUUGACGGGGGCCCGCACAAGCGGUGGAGCAUGUGGUUUAAUUCGAAGCAACGCGAAGAACCUUACCAGGUCUUGACAUCUUCUGACAAUCCUAGAGAUAGGACUUUCCCUUCGGGGACAGAAUGACAGGUGGUGCAUGGUUGUCGUCAGCUCGUGUCGUGAGAUGUUGGGUUAAGUCCCGCAACGAGCGCAACCCUUAUUGUUAGUUGCCAGCAUUAAGUUGGGCACUCUAGCAAGACUGCCGGUGACAAACCGGAGGAAGGUGGGGAUGACGUCAAAUCAUCAUGCCCCUUAUGACCUGGGCUACACACGUGCUACAAUGGACGGUACAACGAGUCGCAGGACCGCGAGGCUUAGCAAAUCUCUUAAAGCCGUUCUCAGUUCGGAUUGUAGGCUGCAACUCGCCUACAUGAAGUCGGAAUCGCUAGUAAUCGCGGAUCAGCAUGCCGCGGUGAAUACGUUCCCGGGCCU